rnacentral:rRNA from 1 species
UACGAAGGGGGCAAGCGUUGUUCGGAAUUACUGGGCGUAAAGGGUGUGUAGGUGGUUAAAGUAAGUCAGAUGUAAAAACCCCAGGCUUAACCUGGGAACGUCGUUUGAUACUGCUUAGCUAGAGUACUAGAGAGGAUAGUGGAAUUUCCGGUGUAGCGGUGAAAUGCGUAGAUAUCGGAGGAACACCAGUGGCGAAGGCGACUAUCUGGAUAGCUACUGACACUGAGACACGAAAGCAUGGGUAGCAAACAGG